AUGAUUUUUACAUGGAAAACCCUUCUAGACAGGGGGAAAAACCACGACCCUGAGAGGAGAAAUUGAUAUUACUAUAGUAAUGAAUUUUACAUUUUAAUUUGUAAGCCCGAAUAAAAUAAUACAAAUAUUGUUAUAACACUCAAAAGAAAUAACACUCUUUUGAUAUUACACAUCACUACAAUAUCUGUCCAUACUCUCUAUUUUCCUCAUACACCAUUUUUCUACACCCUAUUUCUUUCUCUUU
rnacentral:lncRNA from 1 species